CUGUACUCACAGCAGACAUUGUCCCUAGCAGCGCAGCACUACUACGAAUGAUCAACGUGCACUUGUCAGAUCAGCCAUGCGGAUGAACUAAGAACUGCUGUUAAUCAGAAAGGAAAGCAUAAUUACAUACAGAGACGUGGCUGGCAAGUGGAAAAAUCCUUCUGUUUGUCGGCAACUCCAGUUCCACUCCAGUACCCUCCGUAAAAAGAAGACCAAAAAGCAAAGUCUCUAAGCCAGCUUACAAUCCUGACCUUGGAACUGAGAAGUAGGCAGGUACUGCAGGGCUCUGCCCCAUCUGACAUCUCACCAGUCAUUUUGAUGACAACAGUUAAACAUUUGAAAAGUGGCCAUAAGACAGUGAUGACAACAUCCACUUUACGGUCAGAACACUUCUGUGCCUCACUCAAGCUUCGUUUCUGCCCGGAGGCAGGAUCUGGUGGCCACUGCCUCUUUCCACAUCGCUGCAUUUCUUCACGAGCGAUUUCCCCUUGUGGCACAGUGACAGGACUGGAAGAAAGAAAACAUUACUCUCAUCUUAGACAAGACAAGGAGAAGGAUCCAGCUACAGGCUCCUCAACCUCACCUCAGUCCGUAUAAGGUGAUGUAGAAACUGAUCCCAGAAACUGUUUUCAAAUAUGUGUAGGACAAGAAGGUAAUAAAGAGUACUCAGAAAGGAUUUAGGAUUGAUAAAUAGCACUUAACCAAUUUGAUAGUCUUCUGCAAUGAUGUGACUGCUUCAGUAGAUAGAACAGUGGAUACCAUUUAUCUUGAUUUUAGAUAGGCUUCUGACACUGUCUCCCAUAACAUCCUUAUAGACAUGAAUACAAAAAACAGGCCACAUAGACAGUGAGGUAAACUGAAAACUGGCUGAAUGUCUGAGCCCAUAGCAUUGUGAUUAGAUGAAUGAAGUCCAGUUGCAGGCCAGUGAUCAGUGUACACGCAGGAGCUAAGAGCCAAGCCAGCACUGUUUACUCCUUCAUUCACGACCAGGGCAAUGAGAAAGUCAACCUGCAGUAAGUUUGAUGAUACAGCGGGAGGUUGUGCUGUCAUUCUCAAGGAUCUUGACAGGCUGGAAAAAUGGGAUGAUGGGAACUUCAUUAAGUUCUACAAAAGAAAAUGCGAAGUCCUGCAUGUGGGAAGGAAUAACCUCAUGCACUAGUACAGACCGAGGGUCACCCAGCUGGAAAGUAGCCUGGCAAAAAUGGCCUUGAGGUCCCUGUGGGCAGCAAGUGAUUACCAGCCAGCAAGAUGCCUUUGUGGAAAAGAUGCCAGCAGCAUCUUGGGCUGCAUUAUGAUAAGCAAGUCAAGGGAGGUGAUCCUUCCUUUCUACUCAGCACUGGUGAGACACAUCUGAGUGCCGGGCUCAGCCCUACGCUUGCCUUUAGCAGAAAAAUAUGGACAAACUGAAGCAGCUCCAGGACAGGACCAAAGAGACGAUUAUGAGUCUGGAGCAUCUGUCAGAGGAGGUGAGGCUGAGAGAGCUGUAAUUGUUCAGUCUGCAAAGGCUCGGAGAGACUUUAUCAACAUAUAUGAAUAUAAAAUGAGAAGGUAAAGGAGAUGAGUCAGACUCUUCUCAGAGUCUCUGUCUUCCUUGUAGAAAGGACAAGAGGCAAUUGACAAAAGCUAAAUAUAAGAAACACUAAAUAUAAAAAGAAGUUUUACUUGUAAGGGUGAUUGAAUGCUGGAAAGGUGUUACCCAGAACAUGCUGUGGAGCUGCCAUCCUCAGAGAUAUUCAAAACCCAACUGGACAGAAUCCUGACCAAUCCACUCCAGCUGGCCAUGCUUUAAGUGGGGGAGGGAGUGGACUAGAUAACUUCCAGAGGUUCCAUCCAACCUUAAUCAUCCUAUGAUUCUGUGACUGUCAAUGGUGGGAUCAUUAAUUAGAUACAUAAUGAAAAAAAAACUCCUCCUGUAUCUACUUUUUGUACAAGGCUUGAAAUACUUAAAAUGUUCAUAUUAAAAAUCAAAUUCACUUUUUCCAAGAGUGAAAAAGGUGUAAUUCAUACAUUCCUUUCACUAAGGACUCACUCAGACGCUAUGUUCAGAAGUCAAACACAUAUGCAGAGUUGAUUUAAGAAAAUGGAAGGAGGACUUUCUUCACUUUCUUUGCUCGUUUAUUGUUUAGGAAGGAAGAAAAGGGAAGGGCACAGGACUGCAGAGGACAGAACAGAAGCUAUCUAUGCUCCUACAUGUUCUGGCUACGGCAACUGCUGCUAACCAUCUAUGCCAGUUAGCUGCUGAGCACACAGCCAGCAGAGACUUUCCAGCAUGAACUCUUCCUAAUCGUCCGCUCCUCUUUCUUCACUAUGUCAAGUACUCUGUCCCUCUGCGACUGCCCUCUGCGCUUGUCCUGACACAAUUUUUUAGUAUUCCUGAGUUUAUUUCUAAAACACCUUAUUCUUAAUAUAAAUUUUUGAGCUAACAGUCACCAGGAAGUGUGCUAAAAUCACUUUUAGUUGUCAGCCCCUUAUUAGCAGAAGUUUACUUCUCCUCCACUCAGGUAUUCUUGGGUCACUCCAUCAAAUACUGUCCUACUGGUUCAACAGGAGUGGCAAGAUGUGGGCAGCUACACCUGCCCUUAGAUAAUACUUUAACCAGCACAUGCUCUGUGAAGGUUAGGAACUGGAAUGACUGUAUGCCAGGUGCCCGGGGUGUUUUCAAAAAGAAUACUCUAUAAGAGUUCCUUGUAAGCACACAGAGGGUGACAAGCCACCACCAGCCAAGCAAUGCAAAAGCAAAGUCACUACUACUCAUUUUCUGCUUCCAACCUGAAGAGCUUGUUAGCCAUUUCCAGCCAUACCAGUCCAACAAAAAAGUACUGCAUUUCCUAUAACAUACAUGCAUCUUAAAAAAAAAAACCAAAAAACAAAACUCAGUCUAGAAGAUUAAUGAAUUGUUCACUGAAGUGGGAAAGGUGCAAGCUGUAUUUUCCUUUGGCAAACAAACAAGAGAAAUGGCUUUCCUCCAGUAUCAGACAGACAAGGAAGGGAUCUCAAGAGAAGAUGUGUAUCUGGAGAAUGUUUCUGUCCAUUAGAGGGAUAUUCCUUACUCAAACCCCUUUCUUUCCAAGAGUUAAACAUGAAAUGACGAGCUAAAAGUAGAACUGAACUUAACUAGUCCUGCAAGAAUCAAAAGCGGAAUAUAUUUGUUAUAGACAUCCACACAACAGUAACGUUUAUUGACGGUAACUGUUCUAAAUCAUUUGGAAAAAAAAAAGAAGCCCAAACACCACGUUAAACUUGAAUGGUUUACUUCUUACUCUUCCUAACACAUGGAAUAGUAAUUACUGCUGCCCCACCCUGCUCAUGGAUUAAACAUUUAUCAAAUAAAAGAGGUUAAAGUGCACUGCCCAAAGCCAACAAGGAAUUAGUUUUAUCAGCAAUAAUUAAGGACCAGGAUGUCCUGUGAUGUCCUACCACCACUGUUUCGCACCUAUCAGUAGACAACUGCUUUUCCUUUCAACAGCUAUCACCGGAAAAGCAGAAAUACUUAAACAAGGUGUUUCCUAUUGGAUUGCAAAAUGAGGAAAAGAUGCUUUUGACAAGUGACAUCUUAUACAGAGGAAGUUAACAUUUUGAUGGAAAAUAUUAAGUCUUUUCCUUUCAACAUGUGGCUAAAAUGAUAGUCCUCUAGCUGAGACACUGGAGAGCCUUUGCAGCCAAUGCAGGUCAACUUUUCUUGGUUUACAGUCUGAAACACAAUACUUUGCCAAAUAAAAUCAGCCUUUAAAAUCUACUUUCUACUAUUCAGAGAAUGAAAAUCUAAAAAGAGCUAGGUCAAAGAAUUUAGAAUAGUCUUGCUAUUGAUCUUUUGAAGGAAUUCCACUCUCUCCUCCUCGCACGACACAUCCCCAAGUUAUGUUGCAGUUACUACAAAAAUGGAAUUAAACAUUCUAGUAAUCUGAAGUAUUUUUAAAAGACUGUUAAUAUGCAGUUACUCUAUUUGCUGUUUUGCCAUUGAAAUAAAUUUUAUGCAAAAACAUACAUAAGGAAAAAAAAAAAGUUUGCUUCUUUGGUCCUUUCCAACCUUGGUGAUUCUAUGAUUCACAAGUACAUACUUCUUCCCCUGUCUGUCCAGAAUUGGCAUAGAAGCUAACACUGGGUAAAAUCACGCUGACCUCAAAUAAAAACAGAUGAUGAAUGAAAGUGCUUCAAUUCCAACUGUUACACGGAUUAAGGCAAUUGGCGUACAUAAUCAUGAUGACUGUAGUACAAAUAAAAAAAUAGGAUGGAAAAAACUUGCCAAGCGGCUAAUAGACAAAAUCUAAAUUGAAUAAAAUUAGUUAUGUGUUUGCUUGAAUACAGACAGUAUAUAUAUUACAGAAAUGCCCUGGCACAGAUGUCUUAUUUAAGUAAAUCGACUUCCGUUUUAAAAAGUCCAUACUCUUCAGUGUUCACUCUCAUGUAGUUCCUAUAAUUCCAACAACUUUUUUAGUUACUCAUGUUUGUGUAUGUGUACAAUGCCUUCCUUCCAUCGGUCCUUGCUAAGGGAUCAUUACCCUAAGUACAGUUGUUUGGAUGAAAAAAUUGAAGAUCUGAGGUAAGAGUUUUAGAGGGAAAGGAACAGCAUGACGUGGUAACAGUUACUCAGCCUAGAAAAGGUUGCCAUAUGAACAAGCAAGCAGGCUGUCUAGAGAUGUGGAUUUGCCAUCCUUUUAAAGAAGAAAUUAAGCAAGUCUCAGUUUUGACGACAGGUAAAAAAUAGGUAGUACCUAGGAUUAAGGGAAUUUAAUUUUCUUUAUUGUUGCAAGGCUUUUGUCUCUUGCUUUCAUAUAUAUUUAUUAUUAUUUUUAAUACAAACAGCUAAGCAAGUCCUGGAGGAAAACAAAAAUCAUUUUGAUUCUGCUAAGAAGGAAACAGACUUUAA